AUUGAACGCUGGCGGCAUGCUUUACACAUGCAAGUCGAACGGUAACAGGGUGCUUGCACCGCUGACGAGUGGCGAACGGGUGAGUAAUGCAUCGGAAUGUACCGUGUAAUGGGGGAUAGCUCGGCGAAAGCCGGAUUAAUACCGCAUACGCCCUGAGGGGGAAAGUGGGGGACCGAAAGGCCUCACGUUAUACGAGCAGCCGAUGUCUGAUUAGCUAGUUGAUGAGGUAAAGGCUCACCAAGGCGUCGAUCAGUAGCGGGUCUGAGAGGAUGAUCCGCCACACUGGGACUGAGACACGGCCCAGACUCCUACGGGAGGCAGCAGUGGGGAAUUUUGGACAAUGGGCGCAAGCCUGAUCCAGCCAUGCCGCGUGUCUGAAGAAGGCCUUCGGGUUGUAAAGGACUUUUGUCCGGGAGCAAAUCCUAGUGGUUAAUAACCGCUGGGUCUGAGAGUACCGGAAGAAUAAGCACCGGCUAACUACGUG
rnacentral:rRNA from 1 species